rnacentral:misc_RNA from 1 species
AAGUCGUAACAAGGUUUUCCUUCCGGUUCAAAGUUUUUGAACCUGCCGAAGCCUGACAUGGCGACUUUAAAUAAGCAUGGAGUCCUACCCCGGGGGCAGGACAAUGCCGCUGAAAUGCUGUGAUCAACGUGACCGUUGUACCAGCAGCCCUCCACUGGGCCCACAGAUCAAGCCGCGGCGGUCUUACCUGGAAUAACCUGGUAGACUUUAAUAUGACCGGUCUCGCCCGUGACGGCUGAGAGUUGACGUUCCGUAGGUGAACCUGCGGAAGG